rnacentral:rRNA from 1 species
UACAGAGGGUGCUAGCGUUGUUCGGAAUCAUUGGGCGUAAAGAGCUCGUAGGCGGUCUGUCGCGUCGGCUGUGAAAUCCCGAGGCUCAACCUCGGGUCUGCAGUCGAUACGGGCAAACUAGAGUAUUGCAGGGGAGACUGGAAUUCCUGGUGUAGCGGUGAAAUGCGCAGAUAUCAGGAGGAACACCGGUGGCGAAGGCGGCAUUCUGGACCAUAACUGACACUGAGAGACGAAAAGCCAGGGGGAGCAAAACGGGG